GGAAGGGCCCUACACGGUAGCAGAUACCUAUGGUCCGAGGGCCUACCGACUGGAGACUAUGGAGGGGAAACCCAUUCCCCGGACAUGGAACGCUGACAACCUGAAGUUGUAUCACCAAUGAACCUUCUACUUGUUCAUUCGGAAUACCAAUCCAGUUCGAAAUUUCGGAGUUUUAACUCUUCGACUGACGAUCGGCGCUUGCCAAGAAGGUCGGGUCCCGACGUCCUGACCCGGACUUGGUAUUCGCCUGAAACCCAC
rnacentral:lncRNA from 1 species